CCUACGGGAGGCAGCAGCCAGGAAUCUUGGGCAAUGGGCGAAAGCCUGACCCAGCAACACCGUGUGGGUGAUGAAGGCCUUAGGGUCGUAAAGCCCUGUUGAUAGGGACGAAGGGCGAAGGGUUAAUAGCCCCUAGCUUGACGGUAGCUUUCGAGGAAGCCCCGGCUAACUACGUGCCAGCAGCCGCGGUAAUACGUAGGGGGCGAGCGUUGUCCGGAAUUAUUGGGCGUAAAGAGCGUGUAGGCGGUUCGGUAAGUCUGCUGUGAAAUCCUGGGGCUCAACCCUGGGCGUGCAGCGGAUACUGCCGGGCUAGAGGGUGGUAGAGGCGAGUGGAAUUCCGAGUGUAGCGGUGAAAUGCGCAGAUAUUCGGAGGAACACCAGUAGCGAAGGCGGCUCGCUGGGCCACACCUGACGCUGAGACGCGAAAGCGUGGGGAGCGAACAGGAUUAGAUACCCUGGUAGUCCACGCCGUAAACGAUGGAUACUGGGUGUGGGCGGAGUCGAAUCUGUCUGUGCCGAAGUUAACGCGUUAAGUAUCCCGCCUGGGGAGUACGGCCGCAAGGCUAAAACUCAAAAGAAUUGACGGGGGCCCGCACAAGCAGCGGAGCAUGUUCUUUAAUUCGAUGCAACGCGAAGAACCUUACCUGGACUUGACAUGGGGCUGCAAGCGCACGGAAACGUGUGACCUUCGAGGGUGCCUCACAGAUGCUGCAUGGCUGUCGUCAGCUCGUGUCGUGAGGUGUUGGGUUAAGUCCCGCAACGAGCGCAACCCCUGUGGUGUGUUGCCAGCAUUAAGUUGGGGACUCACACCAGACUGCCGGUGACGAACCGGAGGAAGGUGGGGACGACGUCAAGUCAUCAUGGCUCUUACGUCCAGGGCUAGAACGUGCUACAAUGGCCGGGACAGUGGGUUGCCAAGCCGCGAGGCGGAGCGAAUCCCCCAAACCCGGUCUCAGUUCGGAUCGUGGGCUGCACCCGCCCACGUGAGCUGGAGUCGCUAGUACCGCGGGUCAGCACUACCGCGGUGAAUACG
rnacentral:rRNA from 1 species